GAGGGUUUGAUCCUGGCUCAGAUUGAACGCUGGCGGCAGGCCUAACACAUGCAAGUCGAGCGGAUGAAGGGAGCUUGCUCCUGGAUUCAGCGGCGGACGGGUGAGUAAUGCCUAGGAAUCUGCCUGGUAGUGGGGGAUAACGUCCGGAAACGGGCGCUAAUACCGCAUACGUCCUGAGGGAGAAAGUGGGGGAUCUUCGGACCUCACGCUAUCAGAUGAGCCUAGGUCGGAUUAGCUAGUUGGUGGGGUAAAGGCCUACCAAGGCGACGAUCCGUAACUGGUCUGAGAGGAUGAUCAGUCACACUGGAACUGAGACACGGUCCAGACUCCUACGGGAGGCAGCAGUGGGGAAUAUUGGACAAUGGGCGAAAGCCUGAUCCAGCCAUGCCGCGUGUGUGAAGAAGGUCUUCGGAUUGUAAAGCACUUUAAGUUGGGAGGAAGGGCAGUAAGUUAAUACCUUGCUGUUUUGACGUUACCAACAGAAUAAGCACCGGCUAACUUCGUGCCAGCAGCCGCGGUAAUACGAAGGGUGCAAGCGUUAAUCGGAAUUACUGGGCGUAAAGCGGGCGUAGGUGGUUCAGCAAGUUGGAUGUGAAAUCCCCGGGCUCAACCUGGGAACUGCAUCCAAAACUACUGAGCUAGAGUACGGUAGAGGGUGGUGGAAUUUCCUGUGUAGCGGUGAAAUGCGUAGAUAUAGGAAGGAACACCAGUGGCGAAGGCGACCACCUGGACUGAUACUGACACUGAGGUGCGAAAGCGUGGGGAGCAAACAGGAUUAGAUACCCCUGGUAGUCCACGCCGUAAACGAUGUC
rnacentral:rRNA from 1 species